CUUCAACGACCCCAGCAGCAGGGGUGGGGCAUCGGCCGACCUCUGCCCGUAAGUGGCAAGCAGCGCCUGCGCCUC
rnacentral:antisense_RNA from 1 species